GAUUAACGCUGGCGGCGUGCAUAACACAUGCAAGUCGAACGAUGAAACUUAGUAGACUUCUUCGGAAAGAAACUAAGCGGAUUAGUGGCGAACGGGUGAGUAACGCGUGAGUAACCUGCCUUACACAAGGGGAUAGCCUUUGGAAACGAAGAAUAAUACCCUAUAAAACCAUAAAAGCACAUGCUAGAAUGGUCAAAGUGAUAGCGGUGUAAGAUGGACUUGCGUCUGAUUAGCUAGUUGGUGAGAUAAAAACUCACCAAGGCAACGAUCAGUAGCCGGCUUGAGAGAGUGUACGGCCACAUUGGGACUGAGACACGGCCCAGACUCCUACGGGAGGCAGCAGUGGGGAAUUUUGCACAAUGGGGGAAACCCUGAUGCAGCGACGCCGCGUGAUUUAGAAGGCCUUCGGGUUGUAAAAAUCUUUUGUAUAGGAAGAAAAUGACAGUACUAUACGAAUAAGGUCCGGCUAAUUACGUG
rnacentral:rRNA from 1 species